UCCACGUUGGGCGGUCCAAGUGCUCUCCUAAGCUGUCUGCUUGAGCAGGUUGGCUUGUACUAGGCUUGUGUUCUGCCCGUGCCAAGGGAGAGAAACAACAACAGGAAAUGGCUGCUAAUACCCUGUAGCUGGUCUGAGGGGAUGAUCAACCACACUGGGGCUGAGACACGACCCAGAAUCCUACGAGAAGCAACAAUGGGGAAUUUUACGCAAUGGGCGAAAGCCUGAUAGAGCAAUUCCGUGUGGAGGUAGAAGGCCUAUGGGUCAUGAACUUCUUUUCUCGGAGAAGAAGCAAUGAAAGUUUUGAACUGUUUAUCAGAAUAGGACAAAUAUUAUAUGCAUAUGGGGUAGA
rnacentral:ncRNA from 1 species